rnacentral:lncRNA from 1 species
UGCGUGUGCUAAGCUCAGGUCUGAGCACUGGCGGAUCCCAUGGGUGUGGCUCUGAGGAAAUUGACGCAGUGGACUGCUGCCGGACAUGGAACUGGAAUCCUCGAAAUCACCCCUCUAAAUGAAGUGAUAUUGAAAGAAAUUAUUGUUUGUGGAGAAUUUUAUCUAUAAACAUCCCCAAGAGGCAAAAUUUGUUUUUGUGGAACCACUUGAGUGGAACACAAGUUUGGCGCCCUCCGCAUUUGAAUCAGGUUAUGUUAGGGGAUUAGCUUCAAUGAAGACCAGCAAAAGGAAAAGGAUCAGCUUGGCAAAGCCCCCAAGAAGGAAAAAGCAGCUGCCCUCCACAAAGACAUUUCUGGUUCAGGCAAGAGGUCACUGGAGAAGAACCAAAUUAAUUUUUGGAGGAAUCAAAUGACCAAGAGAUGGGAACCAAGCUUAAACUGGAAGACCACUGUUAAUUACAAAGACUAUGCUCAGCAAAAGAAAUCCAAGAGGACAAACACACAGGAAAACUUGAAAAACCAAGACCAUCUGUUUCACACGGAAGAGCACAAUUACUUCGGAAGAGUGCUGAAAAGAUUGAGGAAACUGUUAGCGAUAGCUCCUCAGAAAGUGAGGAAGAUGAAGAACCACCUGACCAUCGUCAGGAAGCAAGUGCAGAUUUGCCAUCAGAAUAUUGGCAAAUUCAGAAGCUGGUGAAAUAUUUAAAG